GGGAACGCCAGCAGCGGGCUGAGGGCUGCAUAACUGAUGGAAGGCCGGGCGCGGUAAGAGCGUCUCGGGGAGUAGGGCAAGGCGGCCGGGCCCCUCCCAUUCCGCCUUUUCUUCAGCGUCCUGCCCGCGGCACUGGCUGCGGGUGCCGGGCCACCUGCGAGUGUGCGGAGGGAUUCCGGACACCCGCGGCGGCGAGCUGAGGGAGCAGUCUCCACGAGAACUGAGGCGGACCCUCUGGCGCCAUGCGCGCCCUCCCCGGCCUGCUGGGGGCGAGGGCGCCUACGCCCCGGCUGCUUCUCCUCCUCCAGUGCCUUCUCGCCGCCGCGCGCCCAAGCUCGGCGGACGGCAGUGCCCCAGGAGUGAGUCCGUGCUGCUGCACAUGCCCCAGCCUGUGAAUCCAGAGCUCACUACAGGGCGCAUCACAGGACUGGUGGACAGGCUCAACCACUUCCGAGAACAUUCUAGUAUGCCAGUAGAAAAAAACAUCACUUUAGAAAGGCCUUCUGAUGUAAAUCUCACAUGCCAGUUCACAACAUCCGGGGAUUUGAAUGCAGUAAAUGUGACUUGGAAAAAAGAUAGUGAACAACUUGAGAAUAAUUAUCUUGUCAGUGCAACAGGAAGCACCUUAUAUACCCAAUACAGGUUCACCAUCAUUAACAGCAAACAAAUGGGAAGUUAUUCUUGUUUCUUCUGAGAGGAAAAAGAACGAAGGGGAACAUUUAAUUUCAAAGUCCCUGAACUUCAUGGGAAAAACAAGCCAUUGAUCUCUUACGUAGGGGAUUCUACUGUCUUGACAUGUAAAUGUCAAAAUUGUUUUCCUUUAAAUUGGACCUGGUACAGUAGUAAUGGGAGUGUAAAGGUUCCUGUUGGUGUUCAAAUGAAUAAAUAUGUGAUCAAUGGAACAUAUGCUAAUGAAACAAAGCUGAAGAUAACACAACUUUUGGAGGAAGAUGGGGGAUUUUACUGGUGCCAUGCACUAUUCCAAUUAGACGAGAGUGAAGAACACAUUGAGCUUGUGGUGCUGAGCUAUUUGGUGCCCCUCAAACCAUUUCUUGCAAUAGUGGCUGAGGUGAUUCUUUUAGUGGCCACCAUUCUGCUUUGUGAAAAGUACACACAAAAGAAAAAGAAGCACUCAGAUGAGGGGAAAGAAUUUGAGCAGAUUGAACAGCUGAAAUCAGAUGAUAGCAAUGGUAUAGAAAAUAAUGUCCCCAGGCAUAGAAAAAAUGAGUCUCUGGGCCAGUGAAUACAAAACAUCAUGUCGAGAAUCAUUGGAAGAUAUACAGAGUUCGUAUUUCAGCUUUGUUUAUCCUUCCUAUUAAGAGCCUCUGAGUUUUUAGUUUUAAAAGGAUGAAAAGCUUAUGCAACAUGCUCAGCAGGAGCUUCAUCAAUGAUAUAUGCUAUCUCAGAUCUAAAGGUAUAUUUUCAUUCUAUAAUUAUGUUACAUAAAAGCAAUGUAAAUCAGAAUAAAUAUGUUAGACCAGAAUAAAAUUAAUUAUAUUCUGGUCUCCAAAGGACACACAGAACAGAUAUCAGCAGAAUCACUUAAUAUUUCAUAGAACAAAAAUCACUCAAAACCUGUCUAUAACCAAAGAAUUCAUGAAAAAGCCUUUGUCAUUUGUCUUAGAAAGUUAUUUUUUAAAAAAAUCAUGCUUACUAUUAGUAUCUAUGGAAGUAUAUGUAACAAUUUUUAUGUAAAGGUCAUCUUUCUGUGAUAGUGAAAAAAUAUGUCUUUACUAAGUUGAAAUGAAUACUUUCUGCCUUUGCUAAUGAUAGUUAUUCUAUAAUCUCCACAAGAAAAACAUACCUUUUAUCCAGAAAUAUUGGUUUAAGGCAAAUAAAUAAAACUGUGCUUGCUCUAAAGCUCUGCACUACAAAA
ensembl:lncRNA EMBP1 embigin pseudogene 1